AGUGAACGCUGGCGGUAGGCCUAACACAUGCAAGUCGAACGGCAGCACAGUAAGAGCUUGCUCUUACGGGUGGCGAGUGGCGGACGGGUGAGGAAUACAUCGGAAUCUACUUUUUCGUGGGGGAUAACGUAGGGAAACUUACGCUAAUACCGCAUACGACCUACGGUUGAAAGCAGGGGAUCUUCGGACCUUGCGCGAUUGAAUGAGCCGAUUUCGGAUUAGCUAGUUGGCGGGGUAAAGGCCCACCAAGGCGACGAUCCGUAGCUGGUCUGAGAGGAUGAUCAGCCACACUGGAACUGAGACACGGUCCAGACUCCUACGGGAGGCAGCAGUGGGGAAUAUUGGACAAUGGGCGCAAGCCUGAUCCGGCCAUACCGCGUGGGUGAAGAAGGACUUCGGGUUGUAAAGCCCUUUUGUUGGGAAAGAAAAGAAGCAGGUUAAUACCCCGAUGUUCUGACGGUACCCAAAGAAUAAGCACCGGCUAACUUCGUG
rnacentral:rRNA from 1 species